rnacentral:tRNA from 1 species
GCUUUCGUGGUGUAGUGGUAAGCACGCUCGACGCGUAACCGAGAGGUCCGUGGUUCGAUUCCCGGCGAAGGGG